AGGCAUCUGCUUCCCUCUGAAAGAGAACAGAUUUAUCCACACCAUGCGACACAAAUUCAGUGAGAAGUUUGCCAGGCUGCCAACCUUUCCGUUAAGGUUUGGCUAUUGUAUAUUUCUUCAGCAAUA
rnacentral:snoRNA from 1 species